rnacentral:rRNA from 1 species
AGUCACUGACAUUAGAUACCCCUGUAGUCCCAGCCGUAAACAAUGUGCGUUAGGUGUGUCGGUAACCACGUGUUACUGAUGCGCCGAAGAGAAAUCGUGAAACGCACCACCUGGGAAGUACGGUCGCAAGGCUGAAACUUAAAGGAAUUGGCGGGGGAGCACCACAACAGGUGGAGCCUGCGGUUUAAUUUGGAUUCAACGCCGGACAUCUCACCGGAUAAGACAGCUGAAUGAUUGUCAAUCUGAAGGUUUUACUAUGACUAGCUG